rnacentral:tRNA from 1 species
GGGGGUAUAGCUCAGGGGUAGAGCGCUCGCUAGCUGCGAGAGGGCUGGGGUUCGAUUCCCCAUACCUCCA